rnacentral:rRNA from 1 species
CGGGUGCGUAACACGUAUACAAUCUGCCUUUAACUGGGGGAUAGCCCGGAGAAAUCCGGAUUAAUACCCCAUAAUAUAUUGAAUAGCAUUAUUUGAUAUUAAAAGCUCCGGCGGUUAGAGAUGAGUAUGCGUCUGAUUAGUUAGUUGGUGAGGUAACGGCUCACCAAGACCACGAUCAGUAGGGGAUCUGAGAGGAUUAACCCCCACACGGAUACUGAGACACGGAUCCG